GUGUUUGUUCGAGGGUGAGGGGGUUACAAAAGCUGUGGGCCUUCUUCGUCUGCCUGUAGGUCCUGGUUAAUUGUUUGUUUUUUCCCGGAGCUCUCAAGGUACGCGCACGCUUUGCACGCCGCCUCUGGAGGCUGGGAAGUGCCUCUUGCUCCUGAGGCCAGUGAAGGAGAAACAGCAGUCUGAGGUUUAGGUAGCAGUCACAGGAGAUCAGACGCUGUUAAGUGUAACGAAGCAUGAAGAUGACAAGAUAAAUGAACCAGAGGCUUUUCAGCUUGAUCAUAUCCUCCAACGCAUAAUGGUACAGAUUUUAUAUUCCAGACACAAAUGUCACCAUGCGGUUGAAAUCAUACUAGAUGAAUCUAUGUGAGUAAGUAUAACGAAGAUAGGGGCUGUUUUUCCCUAAUUAAUUACCUUCCUACUUUAAAUAUAGAAAGGAAAAGGAGUCCUCAUGAGUUAAGACAUGAGUUAAUUGCGUGUGGGAUUUGUCAUGGAAAGUUCUCUCUAAAAUAAACAC